UGUGAACUUAGAAGCUAAGAGCAGUGACGAUCCUGUGACUCCACUUUGUCUACUGACAGUGACAGAAUUUUAAAACAAAGGACCUGGCAUGAGAGAUUCAUCGACUGAUGUCGAAGGAUGGAGCUGACAAUGGGAUAUGGAGUGAUUUGGAGGAAUCUCAAGAGUCAGUUGCUAUCCUACUGCUGGGGACCAUGUUGAUGUGAGUGGCCUGUGCAGCCACCUGAAGCCAUGUUGAUGUUUGAGGUCUAUGGUGCUUGCUGAGGACUGGAGUUAUC
rnacentral:lncRNA from 1 species